rnacentral:rRNA from 1 species
UACGUAGGGGGCAAGCGUUGUCCGGAUUCACUGGGCGUAAAGCGCGUGUAGGCGGCGCGUCAAGUCGGGUGUGAAAGCCCGGGGCUCAACCCCGGGAUGCCGCUCGAAACUGGCGCGCUUGAGGACGGAAGAGGGAGUGGAAGUUCCUGGUGUAGCGGUGAAAUGCGUAGAGAUCAGGAGGAACACCCGUGGCGAAGGCGGGUUGCUGGGCUGACACUGACGCUGAGUGCGCGAAAGCCAGGGGAGCGAACGGG